rnacentral:rRNA from 1 species
AGUGAAUGCUGGCGGUAGGCCUAACACAUGCAAGUCGAACGGCAGCACAGUAAGAGCUUGCUCUUACGGGUGGCGAGUGGCGGACGGGUGAGGAAUACAUCGGAAUCUACUUUUUCGUGGGGGAUAACGUAGGGAAACUUACGCCAAUACCGCAUACGACCUACGGGUGAAAGCAGGGGAUCUUCGGACCUUGCGCGAUUGAAUGAGCCGAUGUCGGAUUAGCUAGUUGGCGGGGUAAAGGCCCACCAAGGCGACGAUCCGUAGCUGGUCUGAGAGGAUGAUCAGCCACACUGGAACUGAGACACGGUCCAGACUCCUACGGGAGGCAGCAGUGGGGAAUAUUGGACAAUGGGCGCAAGCCUGAUCCAGCCAUACCGCGUGGGUGAAGAAGGCCUUCGGGUUGUAAAGCCCUUUUGUUGGGAAAGAAAAGCAGCAGGUUAAUACCCCGCUGUUCUGACGGUACCCAAAGAAUAAGCACCGGCUAACUUCGUG